UUCUUAGAAGUGACACCCCACGCGUGGUUUUGGGCCACAAAAAGAUGAAAAC
rnacentral:tRNA from 1 species